GACGAGGGGUCCAAGCGUUGUUCGGAAUCAUUGGGCGUAAAGGGCUCGUAGGCGGUUUGUCGCGUCGGGAGUGAAAACACCGGGCUUAACUCGGUGCUGGCUUUCGAUACGGGCAGACUAGAGGUAUUCAGGGGAGAACGGAAUUCCUGGUGUAGCGGUGAAAUGCGCAGAUAUCAGGAGGAACACCGGUGGCGAAGGCGGUUCUCUGGGAAUGUCCUGACGCUGAGGAGCGAAAGUGUGGGGAGCGAACAGG
rnacentral:rRNA from 1 species